UACGUAGGGGGCAAGCGUUGUCCGGAUUUAUUGGGCGUAAAGAGCGUGUAGGCGGUUUGGUAGGUCCGCUGUGAAAACUCGAGGCUCAACCUCGAGACGCCGGUGGAAACCAUCAGGCUAGAGUCCGGAAGAGGAGAGUGGAAUUCCUGGUGUAGCGGUGAAAUGCGCAGCUAUCAGGAAGAACACCCAUGGCUAAGGCGGCUCUCUAGUACGGUACUGACGCUGAGACGCGAAAGCGUGGGGAGCGAACAGG
rnacentral:rRNA from 1 species